ACUUUAGCACUGAGUGACAUUUGUAAUUCCUGUACCAAAGAGUGAAUUUUUUUUUCUUAAUUUUUGGUUGAUGGAGACUUGUGAACAGUGUUCCUAACAACAAUUUUGAUGAUCACAUCUUAGAUUUUGCACACUGCCUCAGUUUAAUUGGUUUUAAAUGUCUCUCAUUUGGAAUUUUUUUUGUAGUUAGGCAUAUGACUAUGGUUUUUCAUUUCUGUAUUUUAAUAUAGAUUGGCUACUUUAAAAGAUAGUUUAAUGGGCUGAGGUUAGAAAAGAUAAUUGAACACUUUUCACAAGAUUUUUUUAUGUUGUUUUUAUUUCUACAGGAGUAAGUGAAAAAAUAAUAAGAACUCUCCUUUUAUUUCUAUACAUGAGCUAUACAGUUUAUUGAGCCCUUUAAAUGAAUGCUGAAACAAUAUGCUAAAAUGAAAAGUGAAGGGCCCAUUCUGAUUAUGAGAAUCCUGCAUCUGUGUCUGUGUGGGGGUGGAGGUGUACCUAACCCUUAGUGGCACUAAAGAAUGAUGUUGCCAUUUAUGUAUUUUGCAAAUAAAGAUACAAUUAAAGAACACCUUAAGAAAUUUAUGUGUACACACAUUUGCGCAUGCACGCGCAUACACACACACUUUCCUAAGAGGAAAUGCAGAUUGAUGUACCUUGAUUUAAGCAAAACAAUUAAUAGAAAAUUGAACUUCACCAAAACACACACAAAAAAAAGAGGUCUGGAUGUUAUUUAUUUUACAUAAAAAGUUAGAGUAAGAUUAUUUUGAAAACCAGUUCUGUUUAAUGGUUCAUUUUACAAAAAAUGUGAGAAAAUACCCUUUAGAAAUAUUUGUAAUUGUCCAAAUGUUGUACUGCUAUGUACACUAAUCUGGUUCCUUAUUUUUUUCCCACAAAUUUUCAGGACACUUGUUUAGUGUCUUUAAAACUGCAACUGAAAUGGUAAGAUUUCUGGCAAGAAGACAAUUGUUGGUGUAUUGGAAAAGUAGACAAUCACAUUUGAGAAUAUUUUGCAUUAUUUUCAAUCAACUGAAACUCUCUCCUUGAAUGUAGAUACAAUAUAUGGUUUUGCAGUGAUUUCUGAAUGGAAAAAAAGGAUCAAGUCUGAAACUGAAAUGAAAUAUAACUUAGGAUCAUUCUAAUAUACGUAGAAAUACAUAUGUACAUGUCAUUAGAGGUUAAAGGAAAAUUUGUAAGCAAAAUGGGAAGAACCAAUAGUCUCUCUCUAAUUGUCAAUAAUAUAUUUCCUAGAUUCUGUUGCUACAAUAUUGGUUCUGAGCUUUUUUUGACUUGUUUAUGUAUUAUUUCAAUUAAUGUGGUUGAAUGCAGUUACUUGUUCAAGUUUUUGUUAGUGGAUAGUUCGCCACAAUUUGUUGUCCAGAGAUGAAUAUUAAAAAGAAGUUUUACUUUACCAUAGGUAGAAUGGAGCAGCUAAGAUGUUAUGAUAGGAAGAAUCUCCUGUACUAUCAGAGAUACUCAGAUAAAUGGGUUGUAAGGCUAACAUGAUGGGGGCAGGGUGGGGUGGGCGGGCGGCAGGAUAAGCUUUGGGAGGCUUGAGCACUGAUGACCAUGUUUGUAUGAGCUGUGUGUCCCCAGAGUAGGCUUUUAAAAAAUCUGACUGGCAAGUUUAAUGAAUGGGCAAAAUCUGUGAUAUUUGGGGACUUGUGUCAACCUCUAAUUGUCUGUAGUGUUCUAUCCCUAAGAUAAAACACCUUUUAAUGGUGGUGUGUUCCAAGUGCCAUAGAAAGAUCCUGCUUUUAAAAAUGUCAGGUGUUUUUUUCAUUCAGUGAAUAUGUUUAAAUCUGAGGACUGUUCUGCUGCUGCAUUGUCUGUUUUACCUUGUCUGAUCCCUCAAGAGCAUUUAAAGAAAAUCUUCACUAACAUUUCUAGUGCUAAUGGUAAAAAAGAAAAUAGCAGUUGAAAGAUUCAAGACUAGGUUGAAAAUAGGGAAGAUUAUGACAAGCAGGAGCUGUGUAUCUGAGAUGUACUUGUUUAAAUGAAAAGUCUCCACUGGUUCUUAAAAUGAAAAACCAUGUAUCUACCUUAAGAACAAUGUCUUUUUUUAAAAAUAAUUUUAGCAAUUUAGUUUUUAUUCAUGUAAUAUUUCUGUUUUUCUUUACAGAUUGUUUUUAAUUUAAAUUGUGGAAUUUUUACUUCUCUUGAAAUGUAUUAUGUACUGUAUUUUUAGAAAUCUUAUUUUUAAAUAAAUAUUUUUUAAAAAUAUAGAACUGUUUUCCUCACCCACCUCUUUAUUAAAAUCAACCCAAAUUCUAGAUUCCAGCACCAAGUGUGUAUGAUAGGCCUUUUUUUUUUUUUUUAGUUUUAUGCAAUUUGGACGAUUAUUGAUAAUUAGUUGCCUUUUUAGGAUAUUGUUCUACCAUAAUCUCAAAAUUCAUUACACAUCAAGAAGAGCUAGGUAUGCAUCCUAGGUUGAAAUUGACAAACACAAUAUUCACAGUCAUUUUUUGUGUUAGAGAUGACCCAAAUGGCUAGAUUCAGUCACCCAAUUUAUUUACCACUUGUUGUGCCAGACACUAUUUUAUAGAAAUAUUUUUUCUUUGAGGAAUAAUUGACAUAUAAUGCAGAAAGCUUAAGUGUACAUCUAGGCAUUUUAGAGCCAGGGUUAUUAAAUUACUUAACACCUUUGUUCCCAUGGGGUUGUAGUCUCAUGGUUUCUAGAUAGUUUUUUAUUGAGAAAUUUCCAAAGUCUCAACUAACUACUUCCACGUAAAACUCACAAAGGAGAAGUGAAGUGUAUAUUAAUGAAUAUAGAUUGGUCAAAAAUACCAUGUGAGAAGACCAAUCAGUUUGUCUUAGAAACAGUGAAGGAAUAUACGCUGCCCUGAGAUGGAAAGAUACAGGCUUAACUUUAUUUAAAAUUCUUAAGUUUUUAUUAUCAGAAAGGUUAUGUUGAUAAAUAUUCUGGAUUUACACUUAAAUGACACGGUGGAAUUGCAAAUAAAACUACAAACUUUGAAGGCAAAUAUUGUUGCAUUCCGACAAACCAAAGAUUCUAAACUGUAAUCUUGUUUCUUUUUCAGUUUCUUUUGUUCUGAUUCUAAGCAACAUUUACAAUACUUGUGCUUCCUUGGUGAUGCUAAAUUACAAUGAUUUUAUAUCUUUUUGGUCAGAGGACUCCUUUAAACUCAUAAGACUUACUGCAGACCUCAAAGAGUUUUUGUUUUUGCAGGUCGUCUUAAUCACUAUUGACUAUUAUUAAAAAUUAAAACAAAGAAGUAUUUUAAAUGCUUAUUUAUUCAUUGGAAUAGCAAUAAUAAACUCAUUGCAUGUUAACAUAAGUGAUUAUUAUUUAGAGACUUGAAUUUAUAUAUUUUUUUCAAAGCUCUAGUAUCUGCCUUUCUAAAAAAUUUCACAUCUCCUCUGUUUCUGCAUUUAAUCUGUUGUAUUGUUAUUUUGUUUGAAGUAUCUAGAGAAAUCUGGUCUCAUGCAAAUAGUGUAGUUGUGAAAAGGUGAACAUUUUAAUAGUCUCUUCAAAUGGCUAUGCAUAUUCUUUGAUGCUACACAACAACUCAUUAAGUGAUGGUUUCUUGAAACUUUACUUGCAAUGUGGAACCGGAAAUAAAAUGAAGAAACUUAAGUUUUUAAUUCCAUUUAGUAAACAUACAGUGUUUUAUUAGCUUCAGGUGUACAAUACAGUGAUUCAGCAGUUCUGUACAUCACCCAGUGUUCAUCACAAGUGCACUCCUUAAUUCCCAUCACCUAUUUCACCCACCUACCUCUCCUCUGGUAACCAUUUGUUUGUUCUCUAUAGUUGAGUCUAAGUCUGUUUCUUGGUUUCUCUCUUUUUUCAUUUGCUCAUUGGUUACUUAAAUUCCACACAUGAAUGAAAUCAUAUGAUACUUGUCUUUUCUGACUUAUUUCACAUAGCAUUCAUUAUACUGUCUAGCUCUAUCCGUGUCAUCACAAAUGGCAAGAUUUCAUUCUUUUUAUAGCUGAAUAAUCCGUUGUAUAUAUGCCACCUCUUCUUUAUCCAUUCAUCAGUUGGUGAAUACUUAGGCUUCCAUAUCUUGGCUUUUGCAGAUAAUGCUGCUAUAAACAUAGGGGUGCAUUUAUCCCUUUGAGUUGGUGUUUUCGUAUUCUUUGAGUAAAUACCCAGUAGUUUGAUUAUUGGAUCACAAUGUAGUUCUAUUUUUAACUGUUCCACAGUGCCUGCACCAGUUUACAUUCCCAUCAACAGUGCAAGAUAAUUCCUUUUUCUCCAUAUCCUCCCCACACCUGUUGUUUCUUGUGUUGUUGAUUUUAGCCAUUCUGACAGAUAUGAAGUGAUAUCUUAUUGUAGUUUUGAUUUGCAUUUCCCUGAUAAUUGAUGGUGAACAUCUUUUCUCAUCUGUUGGCCAUCUGUAUGUCGUUUUUGGAGAAAUUUCUGUUCAUGUCUUCUUCUCAUUUCUUAAGUGGAUUAUUUGUUUCUUGAGUUUUGUAAGUUCUUUAUAUAUUUUGGAUACUAACCCUUUAUCAGAUAUGUCAUUAGCAAAAAUCUUCUCCCAUUCCAUAGGCUGCCUUUUAGUUUUGUUGAUUGUUUUCAUCAUUGUGCAGAAGCUUUUUAUUUUGAUGAAGUCUAAAUAGUUCAUUUUUGCCUGUGAUUUCCUUGCUCAAGAGACAUAUCUAGAAAAAUGUUGCAUGGCCAGUGUUAGAGAAGUUACUGUCUAUGUUCUUUUCUAGAGUUUUUGUAUUAUCAGGGCUCACAUUUAGGUCUUUAGUCCAUUUUGAAUUUAUUUUUGUGUAUAGUGUAAGCAAGUGGUCCAGUUUCAUUCUUAUGCAUUUUGCUGUCCACUUUUCCCAACAUCAUUUGUUAAAGAGACUGCUUUUUCCCCAUGGGAUAUUCUUUUCUGCUUUGUCAAAGAUUAAUUGACCAUAUAAUUGUAGGCUUAUUUCUGAGUUUUCUAAUCUGGUCUAUUGAUCUAUAUGUCUAUUUCUGUACCAUUACCAUACUGUUUUGAUUACCACAGCUUUGAAAUAUAACUUGAAGUCUGGAAUGGCGAUGCCUAUAGCUUUGCCUUUCUUUUUCAAGACUGCUUUGGCUAUUUGGGAUCUUUUUUGGUUCCAUGCAAAUUGUAGGGUUGUUUGGUAUAGUUCUGUAAAAAAAAAAAA
rnacentral:lncRNA from 1 species